rnacentral:misc_RNA from 1 species
GUGAAUCAUCAAAUUUUUGAACGCAUAUUGCACUCUCUGGUAUUCCGGAGAGUAUGCCUGUUUGAGGGUAAUUAAAAAGAAUCUUUACCAAUUUUGUUGGUCAAAGGAUAUGGGUUCUCCGCGUUUGUAGCGGUAGCUUGAAAUAAAUGGUCAAGUCUCAUGUUAGUCGAUACGCGUAAUAAUAUUAUUUCGCGAAAUCUUAAUUAUGUGAUUGUCAAGUUUUUAUGCAUACAAAUUUGGUUUGUAUGUGAGCUAUAUCAAUACUUUGAACUUUACCUAGAAUAAGGU